UCUUCUAGUUGGAGAGCUACGCCGAUGCAUUCAUUCUGUUUUGUUUUGUAGCGUUCAAUCUCGUUGAUAAAGUGAACAGUUGAUAGCUAUGACGGAUAUCAUGUGAUAUCGCCUAGUUGAUAUCAAAUGUCAUACACCAAAUUUCCCGGGAAAACUAGAUGUAUCGAUUCCGUGAUAUCCUGGCUCACCAAGAUCAGUGCAUUUAAAUAAAAAUUAUCAAAACGUCGCUGAUAAACUGGCAGUUAAGGCCCGAAUACACACACGGCGUGACAAUGCCUUCUUGACGAAAAUUGCGCCUUCUAGCAUCCACCACCUUCUACUCGCGAACACAGAUCGCGCAAUCACGCCGUCUUUAGCUACGCCGUGUGCACACCUUCUUGUUGCCAAGCCUCCUAAAGUCUGUCUGUCGUCACACGGAAGGCGAUAGCCGUGAUGAUUACAAGGUUUGCAGUAGGCGUGAUCGGAAAACUCACAAUUUUCGCAGUUUUGAUUUUAUUUGUUUUCGGUACGGUUUCAAUUUGUUCUCGCUCUUGUGAUAUUUUGUGAAAUGGAGUUUGUGGAUGUGGAUUCCUGCUGUUCGGAUUCAGGCGAAGCGCUUGAGAGCUAUUGCGAUGCGUCAGUAUAUACUGCGCAUUUGCCGAAAAAAAUCAAGCAAACAGAAGCAGCAGCAUCCUCUCGGAAAUCGGUCGACAAGCGCGCUCAUAUAAACCGGGAUAACUGGAACGACGAGUUGGUGGCAGCGCUGAUAGCACAGGUGGAGUUGCAUCCAGCUUCCGAAACAAAAACUUCAAAGAUUCGGCGUGGGUAAAGGUUCACACUAAUGGCAAUAUGAUGAGCAUCGGUGAUGCCGAGUGUCGCCGCAAGUGGCAGCAUUUGUGUAAUAACAACAACAAACUAGCGAAUGCAUACUAUAAUGCCAAGUCAGGCGAAUCGGCUAAAGGAACACCGAAUUGGGUGCACUAGACCGCCAUGGAGUUCGUCCGCCAGAAUAGGGCAGCGUAUAGGACGAGCACCGAAUCGAAUUUGGAAGUUUCCGACAGCCAAAGUGUGCUGAAGGUGUAACAGUCCAACAACGAUGGCAAGGCCAAACGCGUGAAGCGGCCAGCGAGAACAGUUGAAUCAACACCAAUGCCAACGGCUACAGGAGAAGCACUGGAGAGGCUCGACGUAAUUAUGGAAGCGAUUGGACAAAAAAACCAAUCCGCAUUUGGCUGCGUCGAAAGAAUGGGCAACUAAACCAAAUGUCUAGCGGAGCGUACGAAGUCAGAGAUCAAGGCGAUGUUGUCGAAAUACUGAUCACUUUCGGUCGCAGAGGAGGAAGAGACGGCAGAGAACCAGUAUCGAUUAGAAUUGGCGAAACAAACAAAUGCAUCGUGAUAGAUUUCGUUGAUCGAGGCGUAGGGCAACCCUUGUUUGUUUUGGGCGACGAUUUGGAGAAACUCGAUCUCAGCCGUCACACCAAGAUCGUCGUGUUCAAAACGAACGGCGAGUUGCUGUCUGAUCCGUCUCUCAUUGGAGAAGUAGAAGUCGUAGUAGUCGCAGUAGUCAGUUCUAGAAGUUACUGAAUUGCGUUCAGUAAUUUUAGUUUUGCUGUAAACCAGUAUUUCAUUGAUAAAUUUACUGAAAACCAGUAAUCGAUUCAGUGAUUCGCGAAAAUGCAGCAAAACUAUUUGCUGAACAGGAAACAGUAAAUGAAUGUUUGCUGGAAUCCAACGAAAGAAUUGAUAUGUCAAAAAAUUUACAUCAAGCUGUCAUUAGUAAAACGCGCCAAAUCGCUGUGCAGCUGGUACGGGAUCAUUGCUAAGUUCCUGAUAGCGGAUAUGAGGCCAUAGCUAAGUCACUGUUGGGCUAGAUGAACAUAAAAGUUGAAAUGAUAAUCGUACAUCUCUAGAUCAACAGUAAUUUGGCUAUGAUCCGAUGGGCGGAUGGAAGCUGGUGCCAGGAGCCAGGAAAUUGAUUUAUGCUUUGCUGAAUGUAAAGCAAAUUAUGAUAGCUGACAACCAGCAAGUUGAAUUUUGUUUUACUGAACAUGCAGCAAACGAUGUCACUUUUAUGCAAUUUAGCAUUACUGAACAACAAAACUAUAUUCAAUUACAGAUUUCUGAACUUAUUUUGAUCUAAAUGCUUCAAUAUGGCAAUGAUGUAUUCGAUAUGUAUGUGGUCUAGUGUAUGAAAAAGUUUCGAAAAAUUGUUGAACCAAACACUGUUCAUUCACUUGGUAAGCAAAAACAGUGUAAACAAAAAAAAAGUUGCCCCCCUGCCCCCCCUAAAAGUUGACAUUGGUGCAGAAUUUUGUUUUCAAUAACUCUAAUAGGACAAAACGACAUCUUCAGCCCAUAGAAACAUCUGUGUAAAGUAUCAGCCAGAUCAAAAAUAAUUGAUUGAAAUGCUUGCGCUAUGUUGCGUGGAAUUGCACAGGUUUUUCAGUUGAUCCACCAAGGAUAUUGCAGCGGCAAAAGUACCGGGUAAAUCCGCCUGCAUCAACAAGCUUGGAGUAUUUGAACCGAGCUGUGACAAUUCCUUACCUUGAUUCUCUUGUAACCUCACUGGAAACACGGUUCGAUGAAGAUAGUGCACCUGACUACGCGUUUUACUUGCUGCAUCUCGCUUACGUGAUACGCAUGUCGUUGGAAGAUUUCAAGUGCAAAACCGAAAAUUUCGUAAAUUUUAAUGAAGUUGACAAUUUUGUCGGAGAGGUGGAAGUUUUGUAUUGACAUUGCAGCAGCAUGAGAGCAGACCGUAAGAACUUGGAAGAGUUGGAUCUUAUAGACCUGCUAGCUAAAGCCCGUUCUUUCUUCCCUGCGACUGAGAAAGCUGUCAAAAUUGCACUUGCUCUACCAUGGAAACAUGCACGAUUGAAUGCUCGUUCAGCACAUUACGUCGGGUGAAAACCUGACUGAGAUCAACAAUAUUUGAACAGCGGUUGAAUGCUCACUGCUUGCUGAGUGUUCAUCGACAGGUGGUCAACAACAAUCGUGAAAAGACACAUGAACCGCUUCCGGAACGUUUGACGUUUGAUGCCCGAAGAUUUUAUUGAGAAUCUUGACUGUGUCUUCAAUCUUCACGUCCUUGAGAAGCUUUGACAGGAUGUAGUUGAGAUAGCAGCUGUGCGAAUGGGUGUCCAGCUUUCAGAGAAGUGAACGUACCUUCGCCGCAUCAUUCAGCUGGCCUGCAUCGUUCUCGAAGAGGUCCUGGUAGCGGUUAAACAACAACGUCCGAACGUAAUUCCGUUUUCUUCGUCGAAGACAAACUCGAUGAUGUUCGAAAAGAUGGACUCCAAUAUCUGCUCCGGGGUAUGAUACUGACGCUGCUGCCGCUGGACCGUUAUCCGCUGUAAAAUUUGGGCCAUCUUGUGAAUCAUAUCUUGAAUUCCCGGUUGCGGCUGCUGAUCAACUCUAUCUUUUGCCAUGUUCGUGGAUUCUUGAGAUCCUCAUCGCCAAAAUAAUAUGUCAAAAGGUUUAAAUGAACUUAAGAGUUUUUAGUAAAAAACAUCUAUUUAUUUUCGAGGU